AUUCCAAUUUCAAGUUGGUGAGCGUAAAACAUUGAUACUACGUUAUUCUGAGUUCUAAUUGGUGAAAAAUUAAUUGCAAUAUUCUAAAUAUCAAUUAUAGGCACAAUGUUUGGCAUUUAAAAAACAGGUCUGUAAAGUAAGGUGUUGCAAGGCUUAUUCAUGUGUCACUAAACAAUCUGGUUUUAGUUUACUUUCCAUUUCUUUUUCGGUGAACUUUACUAGCAAACAUGACAAACGUCAUUGAAGUGAAAGUCGAUGACAACCCCCUUCUUGCACAAAUACUACAACUCGCUAAAGAAAUUCAGCAUGAAGACGUCUUGCGUCAGACUACCAAGCCUCCUAUCAAUAUAUUCUCCCAUGUUGGCUACAUCAACACUUCAAACAGCAGAGCCUUGGUGAGUUCGACUUCCGUCUCAGCAUCGAUGUCGCUUAGCAACAAUUGGAUGAUGGGCGUCGACAAAUUAGGCCGGACAAGUCGCUCGAACUGAAACGAUCUGAUCCAACAGGUAGAGCAGGCGUUGCGUGACACGUCCGUUAAUGUGACUGACCUCGAUAUGUUGUUCUCGAAUAAUGUGAACCUUAGGCCUGGAGAGCAGUAUGCGAUUGACGCCAUUCAACAAAAGUUGUUGUCGGAGUUCUCGGGUUUGGGGUGGCGACUUCAGCGUCGGGACUCACUCCAUCUCUGUCUAUGGCCCAGUCGCAGCAGCAGCAGCAACAAGAACAAUAAGUAGUAUCUUAGCGGUGUUCUGGGAUAUGGGGCUUCAUGUAUGUGCUUAAAUUGUCAUCCCAGAUUUGCUUGUGCAGACUGCACCUACAUUAAGUCCUAUUAAAUUAUCACCCAUGAUUAGUCUGUUAAAUUGUCAUCCCAGAUUAGCCUGUGCAGACUGCACAUACAUUAAGUCCUAUUAAAGUGUCAUCCCAGAUUAGCCUGUGCAGACUGCACAUACAUUAAGCCCUAUUUUUCCCAGAAUGAGGCUCAUAUAGUUUACUUAACAUCAGUAUUUUUUCUGCCUGAUUGAAGAAAAUCUUCUAGCAUCAAAUGAGCCAGUUCCUACAGGAUCCCAUGCAGUCAUAGAUCGGUACCCAGCUGAACAACAGGCUGUCUGGUAAGCUGGGCCCGGAUAGGUGCAGCCAGUCUAAAGCUGGGGCUCCAAACUUUCCUGCCAAGUGGGCUGAUAUUACCUCUUCUACAAGAUGCAUUGGUCCUGUAAUUUACCGUGUAUAAUGUGCAGUGUGUAACUACUCAAAAUUUUAUUUCAAUAGUGUGUGCUUGUUAUACAUUGGUAAUACUCUAUCCUUGCUGCUAACUUAAAUUUAAUUCAUUACGAAAUUGUAAAUAUUCAUGAUAGUUGCCAUUUUGUACUGCCUUGAAAGGGUGCAGGGGGGAGGUCGUAUAGAAUUGUAGAAUUCUCUCCGUCCUUCCAUUCUUCCUUAUGUCCGUCCAGCCCUUUUGGCGUUACACGUUACUUAAUGCAGAUUGGUUAGAUAUGGAUGAAACAUGAUUGUAUCAAGUGUACAGUAUAUAGUAGGCUGUGCGUGUGUUUGUGAAGGGUUUAUUGUAUACCUCAUUUGUAUCAAGAGCCUUCAAACAUAAUUUAUUUCUUAUAUUACUUAAUCAAACAACAUUGAUUGACCUCCAAUAUAACUGAUGCUAUUUCAGAAUGCAUUAAUUAUUUGGUUUACAGGGUCAUAUGUCAGUGAUGCGCAAAGAGAUGGUUUUCUGUUCACAGAGAAAUAUUCUAACAACUCAAACUCAGCCACUACAUCUCAAUAGACAACCUGAAUAUCAAGGCGCUAAGUUUGUUCUGGAUGCAGUUACAGUCACAGCUUUCAAGCCAGCAGCUGUCGAUGUAUUGAGAUUCUCUCCUCUCUAUGUUACCUGACCUGCUGCCUGUGAACAUCCUGCACAUAGAACCUUUACCCCAUUCGAUGUAAUUAAACCGGCCAAUCAAACAGACAGUCUGUUACAGCACUUGUCAUUAGAUUGACGCCAUGCAUGCCUUUGAAGAUCAUUUAUACAUACAAUUUAAGCAUGAUAGUCAAUAAUUGCCUGCGUUGGCUUCUUAAACGACUCGCAGUCCUGAGCAUUUACGAUGGAACUCCUCAUCUUGAAAUAUUGGGAAGGCAGGAAAACGCCUGUCACUGUUAAGA